rnacentral:rRNA from 1 species
CGCGUAGGCGGUAUGUCAUGUCAGGGGUGAAAGGCCUGGGCUCAACCCAGGAACUGCCUUUGAAACUGGCAAACUAGAGUCCGAUAGAGGAUGGCGGAAUUCCCAGUGUAGAGGUGAAAUUCGUAGAUAUUGGGAAGAACACCAGUGGCGAAGGCGGCCAUCUGGAUCGGCACUGACGCUGAGGCGCGAAAGCGUGGGAGCAAACA